rnacentral:lncRNA from 1 species
AUGGCCUUUCAUGGCCUCCCGGCCUUCGUCUUUCCACUAUUUUUGGUUUUUGCCUUGUCCUCAAUGAGCUCCAAAACAAUGGUUGCAGGGGUUCGCAUUCUUCUGGAGACUAACUCCGUCCCUCAAGUGCCCCAGCUUCCAAAGCCUGAGCUUCCACCACUUCCCACUCUCCCAACUUUGCCAAAGCCUAAGCUGCCCCAGUUGCCGAAGCCAGAACUGCCAACCUUGCCGAAGCCGGAGCUGCCAAAAUUGCCGAAACCCGAAUUGCCACCGGUACCCCAUGUUCCAACUUUGCCAAAGCCUGAGUUGCCAAAGUUGCCAGAAAUUCCACCUCUUCCCCAUCUCCCAGCUGACUUACCUAAGCUCACAUUGCCCUCCAUCCCAACCCUCCCCAAGGACACACCCCUCCCUUCUCUCAUUCCACACCACAAAACCACCCUCCCUUGA